GUCCUGUCGGUGAGGGCUGAGCAGCCCUGGGGUGUGGGGAGACAAAGGGAUCCAAGUCGUGUCUUUCUUGCUUUGGGAAUCGGUGUCCCGGCUGUCUGGUGGGGCAGAGAGAUGUGCCCUUGGGGUGCCUCCCGGCCCCAAGAAGGUAUGGACUCUGAGCCACAGAAACAGGAUCCAGUAGAGAAGAACUAAGUGUGAUGUUGAAUCUGCUAGACAGGUUCCUGGAGCAAGAGUGAAGAGAUCAGGCCCCAUCACUGGGACAUUUUAGAAUAAUGAGUUCUUUCUCUGGGAUCCACCAAAGUUUGAUAUGAGUGAAGCAAUUUCUUAUUGAGCCCCAGGAAGAAGAAAUAGUGCAGAAGAGAAGGAAUAAUAAUGGGUCAGCUAGACAGAAGAUGAGAAUCAUCAAACAUGUGUCCCAGUAGCCAGACCUAUCAACAGAGCACAGGACCUUGGGUGCUGGCUACCUGAUGGAAAGGAGGAAGGAAGAAACAUAAGGAGAGCAAAUACACAUGCACAUCUCAACAUUGUGAACUGCCAUAUAUGCCCUCCUUGCCAUGUAUAUUCUCUUGCAGAGCUACUAAAAUGGACACAACCAUUAUUUUUAGCUUAUGUGCAGUAGGGAGCACUAGCACAUUCUGCAGAUACUAUUUUCAACCCUUUUUUCCCUGAGGUCUUCAAAGGCUUAGUUUCCCAAGUGCCAUCUAGCUCAAAGUGCAGGCCUAAUUUACUGGCUUUCAUUCAGUUACUCAUGUAGGCCUGUGUACCUAGAAUCUAAUCUGUAGUAUCCUGGUGAAAUUUAGUUUUUCUGUUUCCAGACUACUACCCAUAUCCCUUGAUUGGCUUGAGGAUGCAUCCCAUUUUGAACUUGAUCUGAUUUUGUAUUACAAGUGCUGGGCAUGUGUAUAUUUUCCUUUCCUUUUAUUAUUCUUAGUUGCACAAGGAAGGUGAUUCAGUGGUGUUUUAAUAUGUAUGUGUUGAUUGCUCCUGAAUAAGCCUGUGACUAAACUUUAACCCUGAAUCCCACUGUUUAAGGUUUUUCCCCCUCUGGAUGCUGUGGAGCUGAACUCUGAGUGAUCCCAUGCAGACUGUCACCCUUUUACUCCCUUGUGGCAUUCAUUGUUUAGAUUAUUGGGAGGUUAAGCGGAUGAGCCUUCUUUUAAUUCAAGGAGCUUUAUUUGGGAGAGUACAUAAAGAGUGUUGUGAAACUACUUUUAUCUAAAAUCCAGGGAAGUGGAGAUGUCAUCUGACUGUCAAAUGUAAGGUUUAUCUGAGAGAUAUGCUUGCCCUUCCCCUAGGCAAUUAUAUUUUUCCUGAAGCUACCAAAAUGGGACUGUCAUGUGGAUAGAUUCAUAAAUUAGUUUUGUGGCCACCUCAUUACCUAAUUCCCUUGGUUUAGGAAUGUUCUUUAUCUGACACUGACCCACUGUGGAAUGGCUGGGGAUACUUAUUUUUUCUCUUUAUUCUUUUUGCUUCAGAACGCAAGUGCUUUUGUUGUAGAUAAAAAUGGGAAAUGCAGGAAAGGUAAAAAAGAAAAAUUAGAAACCCUUUAGAAGUCUACUACUUGUGAGUAGGCACAUUAAAUAGUUGAAUAUAAUAUUUUUCAGAAAACAAGACCUACCCAUAUGUUGUCUACAAGAAACUCACUUUAAAUACAAAGAUUCAUAUAGAUUAAAAGUAAAUGCGUGGGGAAUAUGCUAACACUAACCAAAAGAAAGCAGAAGUAGCUAUAUUCAUUUCAGACAGAGCAGACUUCAAAUCAAGGGGAGUUAUCAGGGAUAAAGAAAGGCAUUCUAUAAUGAUUAAAGAAGUCAGUUCUCCAAGACAUAACAGUCUUUAACAUUUAUGUGCUUGACAACAAAGUAUAAAAAUAUGUGAGGCAAAAACUAAUAGAAUUGCAAAGGGAAGUAUAAUAGAUUGAUCGCAUGAUCACAUCAGUGCAUUUGACAGAAGCAUUUGAGAAAAUGCGACACUCAUUCAUGAUUGAAAAAAAAAACCUUCUCAAUAAACUAGGAAUAGAGGAGAAAUUCCUCAUAUUGAUAAUGAAUAUCUACAAAAAACCUACAGCUAACAUCAUAUUAAUGGUGAGAAACUUAAAGUUUUCCCAAUAAAAUCAGGUACAAAGCAAGGAUGUUCACUUUCACAACUCCUUUUCAGUAUCAAUACUGGAAGUUCUAGCUAAUGCAAAAAGGUAAGUAAAGGAAAUAGAAGGUAUACAGUUUGGGAAGGAAGAAAUAUAAUUGUCUUUGUUCACAAAUGACAUUAUCAUCUAUGUAGAAAAUCCAAAAGAAUCAACAACAAAAAUACCCCUCUAGAACAAAUAAGCAAUUAUGGCAAGGUUGUGGUAUACAAGGUUAAAAUACAAAAGUCAGCCAUUUUCCUAUAUACCAGCAAAGAACAAGUAGGAUUUGAAAUUGAAAAUACAAUCCAUUUACAUUAUAACCUUCCAAAAUGAAGUACUUAUGUAUAAAUCUAACAAAAUAUGUACAAGAUCUAUAUGAGGAAAACUACAAAACUCUGAUGAAUGAAAUCAAAGAACUAAAUAAAUAGAGAUGUUCCAUGUUCAUGAACAAGAAGACUCAGUAUUGUUAAGGUGUCAGUUCUUCCCGACUGGAUCUGUAGGUUCAAUGCAAUAACCACCCCCCCCAAAUCCCAGCCAGUUAUUUUGUGGAUAUUGAAAAACUGAUUCUAAUGUUUAUAUGGAGAGAUAAAAGACCCAGAAUAGCCAACAUGAUACUGAAGGAGAAGAACAAAGUUGGAGGGCUGAUGCUACCCAACUUCAAGGCUUUUUAUAAAGUUCACAACACUGUGGUAUUGGCAAAAGAGCAAAUAGAUCAAUGGAACAAUAAAGAGCCUGUAAAUAGACCCACAUAAAUAUAGUCAACUGAUCUUCAACGAAGGAGCAAAGGCAAAAGAAUGGAGUAAAGAUAGUUUUUACUAAUGAUGCUGAAAGAACCAGACAUGCACAUGGGAAAAAAUGAAUCUAGACACAGACCUUACACCAUUCACAAAAAUAACUCAAAAUAGAUCACAGCCCUAAAUUUAAAACAUAAAACUAUAAAAUGGCUAGAAGAUUUAGGAAAAAACCUAGUUACCCUUUUUUAUGGCAAUGUCAUUUUAGAUGUAAUACCAAAGGCACAAUCUGUGAAAUAAAUAAUUGAUAAGCUGGAAUUCAUGAAAAUUAGAAACUUUCGCUCUGCAAAGGACAGUGUCAAGAGAAAGAGAAGACAAGUCAAAGAAUGGAAGAAAAUAUUUGCAAAAGACAUAUCUGAUAAAUGACAGUCAUCCCAAAUAUACAAAGAAUUCUUAAAACUCAGCAAUAAGAAAAUGAACAACCUAAUUUUCAUGUGGGACAAAGACCUUAACAGACAACUCAUCAAAGAAGGUAUACAGAUGGCAAAUAAACGUAAGUAAAGAUACUCCACAUCAUAUAUCAUCAGAGAAGUGCAAAUUAAAACAACAAUGAGAUACCACUACACAUUUAUUAGAAUGGCCAAAAUUCAGAACACUGGCAACUGGAGUUGGAGAGGAAUUGGAACAACAGGAUCUCUCAUCUAUUGCUGAUGGGAAUGCAAAAUGGUUACAGCACUUUGGAAGACAGUUUGGUAGUUUCUUACCAAACUAAACAUACUCUUACCACACAAUCCAGUAAUCACACUCCUAGGUGUUUACCCAAAGGAGUUCAAAACUUAUGUCCACACAGAAACCUGCACACAGAUGUUUAUAGCAGCUUUAUUUGUAAUUGCCAAAACUUGGAAGCAACUAAGAUGUCCUUAAUUAGGUGAAUGGAUAAAUAAACUGUGGUACAUUUAUACAGUGGGAUAUUAUUAUUCAGCAUUAAAAAGAAAUGAUCUAUUAAGCCUCGAAAAGACAUGAACAAACUUUAAGUGCAUAUUACUAAGUGAAAGAAGCCAAUCAGAAGAAGACUACGUAUCUUUUUUGAAGUAGUGUUUUCAUAUUUGGAUAAAUACCUAGAGGUGGGAUAGCUGGAUCAUAUGGUAGUUCUAUUUGUAAUUUAUUGAGGCAUCUCCAUACCGUUUUCCAUACUGAUUUUACCAAUUUACAUUCCAACAUACAACCUAUAUAUAGGUUCCCUUUUCUCCACAUCUUUGCCAACACUUAUUUCUUGCCUUUUUGAUAAUAGCCAUUCUAAUAGUGUUCAUUGCAGAAUUAUUUACAAUAGCCAAGUACCCAUCAAUGGAUGAAUGGAUAAAGAAGAUGUUAUACACAUACACACCACACACACACACACACACACACACUCACUGGAAUACUACACAGCCAUAAAAAGAUGAAAUCUUGCCAUUUACAACAAUAUGGAUGGACCUUGAGGAUAUUAUGCUAAGUGAAAUAAGUCAUAUGAAAUGAGACAAAUACCAUAUGAUUUCAUCCAUAUGUGGAAUAAAACAAACAAAAUAAAUGAACAAGCCAAACAAAGGCAGAGAGGGAGAAGGUAAAAUGUGUAAAGGGGAUAAACUAUAUGGUGACAGCUGGAAACAGCUUUUGGCAGUGAGUACCCUGUAGUGUACACAGCAUUAGAAAUAUAAUGUUGUACACAUGAAACAUAUAAUGUUAUAAACCAAUGUUACCUCAAUAAAAAAUAAGAAGGGACUUCCCUGGUGGCACAGUGGUUAAGAAUCUGCCUGCCAAUGCAGGGGACACAGUUUCGAGCUUUGGUCUGGGAAGAACCCACAUGCUGCGGAGCAAAUAGGCCCGUGCACCACAACUACUGAGCCUGUGCUCUGGAGCCCGUGAGCCACAACUACUGAGCCCAUGUGCCACAAUUACUGAAGUCCACAUGCCUAGAGCACAUACUCUGCCACAAGAGAAGCCACUGCAAUGAGAAGCCUGCCCACUGCAACAUAGAGUUGCCCCCACUUGUCACAACUAGAGAAAGCCCACGCACAGCAACGAAGACCCAACACAGGCAAAAAUAAAUACAAAUAAAUAAAUAAAUUUAUUUUAAAAAUAACUUAAGGGCUUCCUGGGUGGUGCAGUGGUUGAGAGUCCGCCUGCCGAUGCAAGGGACACGGGUUCGUGCCCCGGUCCGGGAAGAUCCCACAUGCCGCGGAGCGGCUAGGCCCGUGAGCCGUGGCCGCUGAGCCUGCGUGUCCGGAGCCUGUGCUCCACAACGGGUGAGGCCACAACAGUAAGAGGCCUGCGUACCGCCAAAAAAAAAAAAAAAGUAAAAGCUACAUAUUGUAUGAUUCCAACUAUAUGACAUUCUGGAAACAGCAAACUAUGAAACAGUAAAAUUAUCAGUGAUUGCUAGGAUUUUCAAGGAGAAAGGAAGAGGAUGAAUAAGCAGAGCACAGAGCAUUUUUAGGGCAAUGAAACUACUCUGUGUGGUAUCAUAAUGAUAGGUACAUGUCAUUAUACAUUUGUCCAAACCUAUAGAAUGUACAACACCAAGAAUGAACCCUAAGGUAAACUGUGGACUUUGCGUGAUUAUGAUGUGUCCAUGUAGUUUCAUCAAUUGUAACAAAUGUACCACUCUGAUGGGGGAUGUUAAUGAGGGAGGCUAUGCAUGUAUGGGGACGGGGGGUAUAUGGGAAAUCUCUGUACCUCCCAGUCAAUUUUGCUGUGAUUGUACAACUGUCUAAAAAAUGUAGUCUUAAUUUAAAGAAAAAAGUUAAUGUGAAGGAGCCAUGUCAUCUCAGAUUUAACCUUUGAAUUUGCCCAUAAUUCAUUUCCCCUCUUACCCUCCUAUUUCCAAUAUAGAGUUAAUGAGAUGCCUCCAAUGGAACAGUAUGGGAUUUAACAAUAUAUAUUCAGUUAUUAGUGAAUGGUAAGAUGGAUACUUGUGUGUCAAAGAAAUGGAAGUAAUUUGUGGAAUUUUGCCUCUCAGUGAGGCAGUGGAUGGUUGAAAUUGUGGUGUGACGUCACUGGAUGACGCGUGAUCUGAGGACCCCUACAGUGUUGAAUGGGAGACAGGUCUAGAAUUUUCCUAUAAACGUAUUAACAUGCGUAGCAGUCCAGGAGCAGCAGUUAGGCAAACACUACGGCUUGCUGCCCUGGUGCCAUCUCUCACUGAGCUCACCAGGUGAGUCAAAGGCAAGCCUGCCUUCCCAGUGUGGGGAACUGGAUUAGGGUCGGCGCAGAGGCACGAUGUUGGGCAGCUCUUAGGAGCUUCUGAGUCUCCCAGAAAACUAGAGAUCCUUCUGUCUUUUAAACUUUGAACUCAACGCACACCAGAGAGAGAUUUGCUUCCAUCAUAAAGAUAUGUGUAUUCUCAUUAGGAGAAACAAUGAAAAACACCUUUCCAUAAUGCCUGCCUUAGCCCUAAGUCUCAGCCAGCCCCUGCUACUGAGUCUCGACUUUUAAAAAGCCUUUGAAGUCCCACCACGUGCCAUAUACUCUGGGCAGUAUUUGUCAUUCACCCCUCAGGACAGCUCUGUGACAUAGGUAUCGUGAGUCCCACAUCACAGAUGCCCAAGCUCAGGCUGACAGAGCCUAGGUCAGCUCUCCAGUAAGUGGCAGGAUGGGAUGAGGUUCUAUCCCUCGCCCUCCAUAGAGGACACAGAGCGGCCUCCCUUUUAGACAAUGGGCUUCCAGGGCUGGAAAAAUGGUCAGUCACACUCCCUGCUAUUGUGGCCCCGCGGGUAUUCACUCACCAGCCCCUCAGAGUGAGGAAGAUUACAGAGGAGAUGAAAUUCUGCCCCUUAUUCCAAGAGACCUGGGUGUCUGGGCCACAUCCAUUGGCUGAUUCCUGAAGUGGGGAGUAGGGCUCAGACAGAGGCUCAGGUGUUGCCCUUGAGACAGGUGAUCUGGAGGGAAGGAAAGUGAUAUGUAAGGAAGUGCUUUAAGAAAUUGUGCUUUAUAUUUUGUCUUCUUUAAUCCUAACAGCUAUUCAAGUUACCCAUCAUUUUGACCAACAUCAUACCAGGGUACUGACUUUAGGGGAGUUUAUGUAAAUCAGGAAGACACCUUUGUUUUCUCCAGGUCAACAGCCAACUGUGGAAAUACUUUAAAGUUUUUUUGCAUUUUCUCUUGAUGCCUCCAGGACUCUGAAUGCUCUAACCUGCCUGGAGGCUGGCGGUACAUGCUCCUCACGUUUUCUUUCCUUUUUUAAUAAUACUUGCAUUGUUUUUAAGUCUAAUUAUUGAAAUUGAAAACUUUCUAAAUUAAAAAAAAGAGUUAUGUUAAAAGAGGGGAGAAAACAUCUGUAAACUACGCCUCAUAGUGGGUUAAUAUCCAUGAUUUGUGAAGCACACUCAUUAACAAAUGAUUGGCAACUAAUUUCAACAAAGAACUCAAAUAAAUAUAUAUAUAUGAAUAGUAAACAUGUUAAAAUAUGCCUAAACCACUAGUGUGUUAUUCAGGGUUCUACAGAGAAAUGGAAACAGCAGGAUAUGUAUUUAUAUAUAAAAGGAGAUUCAUCAAAAGGAAUUGGCUUGUGCAGUUAUGGAGGCUGAGAGGUCCCACAGUCUGUCCCUUGCAAGCUGGAGACCCAGGAAAGCUGGUGGCGUAGUUCAGUCUGAGUCCAAAGGCCUGAGAACCCCGGAAGCUGAUGGCUUAAAUCCCGGAGUGAGGGCCAGAGAAGGUGAGAUGAGAUGUCAGGCAGUGCAGCAGGAAGCAGAAGUGGGGGAGUUCCUCCUCCCUCUGCCUUUUGUUCAAUUCAGGCUUUGAACAGAUUGGAUGAGUCCCACCCACAGCGGGGAGGACAGUCUACUGAGUCCACCAGUUCAAAUACUAAUCUCAUCCAGAAACACCCUCAAACACAACCAGAAUCAUGGUUAAUCUGGGCAUCCCAUAGCCAGCUGAGUUAACACAUAAAAUUAACCAUCACAACUACAAUUAAUGAGAUGAAAAUAUAAAUCCUAAGAAGAAUAUUAAGUGGAAAAGACAAGAUGCAAAAGAUGAAUAAUGUGAUUCCUCUUUAGGAAGAGACACCUGUGUGUGUGCAGUUGUCUAUGAUCAUGUACCCUCACCUACAGGGACACGUCUGGAGGGGAGGCACUGUUCUAUGACAACAGAUCCUUUUGGGUCAAGGGGCGGGAGUCAGGCCUGUAAGAGAGGUGAGAAAAUGUACUUUCAUGUAUUGUUUGGAAAGUAUUCAGGAAAAAAGCAUUUUCAUAAAAAAUUGAAAACAAAGUACUGUGAACAGACUGACAAAGGUAAUGUGAACAUGUAUUUAUUACUUUGGAAAAGCAUUCAUUGUAUUCAG